UAUCGAUCCAAUCGCGUAAACGUUAAGAAAUCAAGCGAAAGAGCCUAUAGUGUGUUUUGGACACAAAAGAAAUGGACCUAGAAGAUAGCGAAGGGUAGGAAGGUGAAAUAGGCUUAUAUUCAUAAGCCUGCGAGGUUAGAGUCGACAUUAUGUCAGUGGUGUUGCGCAGCUUUGCAUCUUUGGCGAGUCACUGGUGGUCAACUUGGAUUAGUAGACGUGGCAUGUUGUGUAAUAGUUUAAUCUUCAACCUUCCGCUGGAUAAAUGUUACGUUUUCAAAUGUAAUAGAAUUUAAUUGUGCUUUUAAGCUAAAAAGAAAA